UCCCGCGUAAAAUAGGGCUUUCCGGGAGGCUUCUGAAGUGGCCAUGGUAACCACAUUUUUCCGGGUGUCUUUGCGGCAGUAGCGCGGGGGCCUAACCUGACCUGUUCAUGUCGGUGAAUUUGGAUAGAUAGGGUCGUGUGUCUCUUCUGCUGAAAGACCUCCCAGGAGCAGUGCAGAGUGAAAUUCAGUCUCUGAAGAGAAAAUGCCAGGCCUUUCACACUCUAACUCCAGCUUCAUUCCAGCCUCAUUUCCUGCAUCCCCACCUAACAAACUGGGCUCUGGUGGCUCUGGUUCAGAAGGCUGAAUUAUUGAUGCUCUGCAGUCCAUGACAUACUAAUGUAAUUGGCCUUCCAAAGUCCUUCACCUGUUACUUAUCUGUGCAUUGCCCCAUGACCUUUCAAUGUAUUUUAUGUCUAUGGUUUUUUAAUUUGUUCCUGUAAAAUAUCUGCUUUUUUGCAUGUCUCUGUAUUUAAUUUACAUUAUAGAUCUCAUUGGGUUUCUUU